rnacentral:tRNA from 2 species
GAAUUAAGAUACCCAAGAAAAAGCUUCUAACUUUAAUCUUAAGCGGUGUAACUCCGUUUUUAAUUCA